ACUCAAAGGAAUUGACGGGGGCCCGCACAAGCAGUGGAGCAUGUGGUUUAAUUCGAUGCAACGCGAAGAACCUUACCUGGGCUUGAAAGGCUAGAUUCUAGACGAUGAAAGUCGUUUACCCGCAAGGGGUCUAGUACAGGUGCUGCAUGGCUGUCGUCAGCUCGUGCCGUGAGGUGUUAGGUUAAGUCCUGCAACGAGCGCAACCCCUACACUUAGUUGCCAUCAGGUAAUGCUGGGCACUCUAAGUGGACUGCCUACGCAAGUAGCGAGGAAGGUGGGGAUGACGUCAAGUCCUCAUGGCCCUUACGCCCAGGGCCACACACGUGCUACAAUGGCCACUACAAAGGGUUGCCAAGGCGCAAGCCGGAGCUAAUCCCAAAAAAGUGGUCUCAGUUCAGAUUGUGGGCUGCAACUCGCCCACAUGAAGCUGGAAUUGCUAGUAAUCGCAGAUCAGCACGCUGCGGUGAAUACGUUCCCGGGCCUUGUACACACCGCCCGU
rnacentral:rRNA from 1 species